UGGCAUCAUUAUUGUUUGGCAAAUUGGGGUUGCUUCGGUGGAUGUAUUCCACCACUGUAAUCAACAAAUUAAUAUUGUUAUAUCACUAAAAUAAAUGGUCUUACUUGGCUCUUAUCUGGUGUGUAUGCUAGCACUAUGUAUAGAGAUAAGAGGAUGGUGUGGCAAGAGGUAGCCAACCUAAUUGACUAAGGAAUUUCCUAUGGUCGUCAUUGGUGACUUUAACUACACUAUUGGCUCGAAGGAUAAAGGGAAGGUAGGCCUUUUGUGGAGGAUGUGGGCUCUAGGGAGUUCAGAAAGUUUAUGUCGGACCUUGGCUUUGUGGGACUG
rnacentral:lncRNA from 1 species